CAUGCUUAGGAUGUUGACAUAAUGGCUUUAAACGACCCGUCUUGUAACACGGACCAAGGAGUCUAACAUAUGUGCGAGUACAAGGGUGUGCAAACCCGUGUGCGCAAUGAAAGUGAGCCAGGGUGGGAGGGCGCGAGCCUGCACCAUCCGCCGACCAUGACCCUCUGGGGGACAGGUUUGAGUGGGAGCGUAUAUGUUGGGACCCGAAAGAUGGUGAACUAUGCUUGAGUAGGGCGAAGCCAGGGGAAACUCUGGUGGAGGCUCGUAGCGAUUCUGACGUGCAAAUCGAUCGUCGAACUUGGGUAUAGGGGCGAAAGACUAAUCGAACCGUCUAGUAGCUGGUUCCCUCCGAAGUUUCCCUCAGGA
rnacentral:rRNA from 1 species